rnacentral:tRNA from 1 species
GGUCAGAUGGCCGAGUUGGUUAUGGCGCGUAAGUAUCUCAGACCACAUGGCGCCAUUCGAUCGCGUCUGACAGCCAUAUAGCAGGUUAAGGUCACACCUUGAUAUCAUUUCCUGGUCACGAAAGUGGCGCGAGUUCGAGUCUCGCUCUGAUCA